UCAAGAAGAAGAAGAAGAAGAAGAAGAAAGAAGAAGGACAAUCGAAGCCGAAGCGCUCUCUCGACUAGCUGGACCGAGGAAAAAGGAGAGAAAAAAGAUGGCGAGCAAAGUAGCCGGAGUUCUGAUUGUGUGCGCCGUCCUGGUGGCGACGUUCGGGCCGGGCGAAGCCGACGACCUGCUGAACGCGUACAAGAAUUGCUUCACGGGAUGUCACAAGACGUGCGAAGGCGAGGGCAAUGGCAACACCUUCUGCGAAAUGAAGUGCGAUACCGAUUGCAUGGCCCAAGAGACCGCAGCCAAACUGAACAUGAAGCCUUGACGGACUACGCCAAGAACAAAUCUGCUCGCAGGUCGCCUCCACAGCCCCCCGGAGGAGGAGGAGCCAUUUCAAGAUCACCCUUUUAGUUUUUCCUAAUCUGUAUGUUAUAUACGUUAUGUCACCCGCGAUGUGAAAAUGAUGCACUCGGGGUGGUGACCCAUCUUGUCACUUGAUUAACAGUCUUAAAUAAUCGACUAGUUUGAGCAUAGCAUUUCA